rnacentral:rRNA from 1 species
UGGCUAACGUUAUCCGGAUUUACUGGGCGUAAAGAAGGCGCGGGCGGCACCUUAAGUCGGGUGUGAAAUCUCCGGACUCAAUCCGGAUAGGUCAUCCGAUACUGGGGAGCUUGAGGACAACAGAGGGAGAUGGAAUUCCCGGUGUAGUGGUGAUAUGCGUAGAUAUCGGGAGGAACACCAGUGGCGAAGGCGGUCUCCUAGGUUGUUUCUGACGCUGAGGCCUGAAAGCGUGGGGAGCAAACCGGAUUAGAUACCCGGGUAGUCCACGCCCUAAACGGUGAGCACUAGGUAUGGGGGGUAUCGACCCUCUCCGUGCCGCAGCUAACGCUUUAAGUGCUCCGCCUGGGGACUACGGUCGCAAGACUAAAACUCAAAGGAAUUGACGGGGGCCCGCACAAGCAGCGGAGCGUGUGGUUUAAUUCGAUGCUACACGAAGAACCUCACCAGGGCUUGACAUGCUAGAAGUAGGAACCUGAAAUGGGGACGGACUGUUAAGUCAGUAGCUAGCACAGGUGCUGCAUGGUUGUCGUCAGCUCGUGCCGUGAGGUGUUGGGUUAAGUCCCGCAACGAGCGCAACCCUCGUGCCAUGUUGUAUUCUCAUGGCAGACUGCCCUGCAAAACGGGGAGGAAGGUGGGGAUGACGUCAAAUCAGCAUGGCCUUUAUGCCCUGGGCUACACACACGCUACAAUGGGCGGUACAAUGGGUUGCCAAGGAGCGAUCCGGAGCCAAUCCCGAAAAACCGUCCCUAGUUCGGAUUGCAGGCUGAAACCCGCCUGCAUGAAGUCGGAGUUGCUAGUAACCGCAGGUCAGCAUACUGCGGUGAAUACGUU